rnacentral:rRNA from 1 species
AUACGGAGGACGCGAGCGUUAUCCGGAUUCAUUGGGUUUAAAGGGUGCGCAGGCGGCCGUGCAAGUCAGCGGUGAAAGCCCGGGGCUCAACCCCGGAAGUGCCGUUGAUACUGCAUGGCUGGAAUGCGGUCGAGGCGGGCGGAACGUGGCGCGUAGCGGUGAAAUGCGUAGAUAUGCCACAGAACGCCGAUAGCGGAGGCAGCUCGCCAGGCCUGCAUUGACGCUCGGGCACGAAAGCGUGGGAUCGAACAGGAUUAGAUACCCUGGUAGUCCACGCCGUAAACGAUGGGCGCUCGUCGUCGGCGGCAGACAGUCGGCGGCCAAGCGAAAGCGAUAAGCGCCCCACCUGGGGAGUACGGUCGCAAGGCUGAAACUCAAAUGAAUUGACGGGG